UACGUAGGGUGCAAGCGUUAAUCGGAAUUACUGGGCGUAAGCGUGCGCAGGCGGUUGUGUAAGACAGAUGUGAAAUCCCCGGGCUCAACCUGGGAACUGCAUUUGUGACUGCACAGCUGGAGUGCGGCAGAGGGGGAUGGAAUUCCGCGUGUAGCAGUGAAAUGCGUAGAUAUGCGGAGGAACACCGAUGGCGAAGGCAAUCCCCUGGGCCUGCACUGACGCUCAUGCACGAAAGCGUGGGGAGCAAACAGG
rnacentral:rRNA from 1 species